GACGAACGCUGGCGGCGUGCUUAACACGUGCAAGUCGAACGGAAAGGCCCUGCUUUUGUGGGGUGCUCGAGUGGCGAACGGGUGAGUAACACGUGAGUAACCUGCCCUUGACUUUGGGAUAACUUCAGGAAACUGGGGCUAAUACCGGAUAGGAGCUCCUGCUGCAUGGUGGGGGUUGGAAAGUUUCGGCGGUUGGGGAUGGACUCGCGGCUUAUCAGCUUGUUGGUGGGGUAGUGGCUUACCAAGGCUUUGACGGGUAGCCGGCCUGAGAGGGUGACCGGCCACAUUGGGACUGAGAUACGGCCCAGACUCCUACGGGAGGCAGCAGUGGGGAAUAUUGCACAAUGGGCGGAAGCCUGAUGCAGCAACGCCGCGUGCGGGAUGACGGCCUUCGGGUUGUAAACCGCUUUCGCCUGUGACGAAGCGUGAGUGACGGUAAUGGGUAAAGAAGCACCGGCUAACUACGUGCCAGCAGCCGCGGUGAUACGUAGGGUGCGAGCGUUGUCCGGAUUUAUUGGGCGUAAAGGGCUCGUAGGUGGUUGAUCGCGUCGGAAGUGUAAUCUUGGGGCUUAACCCUGAGCGUGCUUUCGAUACGGGUUGACUUGAGGAAGGUAGGGGAGAAUGGAAUUCCUGGUGGAGCGGUGGAAUGCGCAGAUAUCAGGAGGAACACCAGUGGCGAAGGCGGUUCUCUGGGCCUUUCCUGACGCUGAGGAGCGAAAGCGUGGGGAGCGAACAGGCUUAGAUACCCUGGUAGUCCACGCUGUAAACGGUGGGUACUAGGUGUGGGGUCCAUUCCACGGGUUCCGUGCCGUAGCUAACGCUUUAAGUACCCCGCCUGGGGAGUACGGCCGCAAGACUAAAACUCAAAGGAAUUGACGGGGCCCCGCACAAGCGGCGGAGCAUGCGGAUUAAUUCGAUGCAACGCGUAGAACCUUACCUGGGUUUGACAUGGAUCGGGAGUGCUCAGAGAUGGGUGUGCCUCUUUUGGGGUCGGUUCACAGGUGGUGCAUGGCUGUCGUCAGCUCGUGUCGUGAGAUGUUGGGUUAAGUCCCGCAACGAGCGCAACCCUUGUUCACUGUUGCCAGCACGUUAUGGUGGGGACUCAGUGGAGACCGCCGGGGUCAACUCGGAGGAAGGUGGGGAUGACGUCAAGUCAUCAUGCCCCUUAUGUCCAGGGCUUCACGCAUGCUACAAUGGCUGGUACAGAGAGUGGCGAGCCUGUGAGGGUGAGCGAAUCUCGGAAAGCCGGUCUCAGUUCGGAUUGGGGUCUGCAACUCGACCUCAUGAAGUCGGAGUCGCUAGUAAUCGCAGAUCAGCAACGCUGCGGUGAAUACGUUCCCGGG
rnacentral:rRNA from 1 species